rnacentral:sRNA from 1 species
UUUUUUUAAUAUUUAAGUAUACUUGUGUAAGACCACAUUGUUGCUAUUACUUAUACUGAUCCUAACAAUUAUAUACAUAUUUACCUUCUGUUAACAUUACAUCACAUUCAAUGUUGUUUUGCCUUCUCACCUCUCAAUGUGUAAAGAAAAUUAUUGAUAUGCGUUGCCACCGAAUUUGAAUUUUGAUAUUUUUAUAUAACUGAUUAUAGAUUCUACAUUUUUCGUAAAUUUGUCUAAUGCAUGUCUUAGAGAAGAAUCUAAAUAGGAACAAAGGAAAACAUGGAAAAACAAUUGACAAGGGACGACAAACUGUGGAAUCAUUUAAAUUCAUGGGGGGCCAAAUUUCGUGGUUUGUGGGUUUUUACUUUAUCGUGGGGCUGUUAUUUCGUGGAUGCGUCGGUUUUCAGUUUUAGUAAGAAAACUAACUCUUUUAAAAUUUGUUUUCGUCGAUGAUGUUAAUUCGUGGGGAAGUGCUACCAACGAAUACCACAAAAAUUGAGCCACCACGAGUUGUAAUGAUUCCAAAGUAUAUCAAAAACCAAAAUCUAGUUAUUUGUCAUCUUAAGAUCUAGGUGAUCGACAAAAAAAUUACUUAGUUUCUUGGUUUUAUUUUGAGAAAAAAAAAAUAAACAACGUUGAUAUUUUGAUGGCUGUACAUAUUUAUCAUAUAUCUUUUUUUGUAUAGCAAGAAUAGUCAUAUUAUUUUUUUUUUAUCAAACAAAGUUAACAGAGUGCAGUUUACUUUUCCUGGAGGUUUUAUCAAAAAUGACUGCAAUUAUAUAAUUUAUUCUAUAUAAACAAACUUUUGGUUUAUUGGUAAUUCAAUUUUAAUUCAAAGGAUAUAGGCCAGAAACUACAUAUUAUGUAAGAGGAAGAACUUAUUGGGCCUCUAAUUAGUUCUUUCAAAAAAACAAGAAAAGAAAUGGACAGUUUUAGGCUUAUAUCUGACAUAAAUAAUCAAUUUUGUUGUUCUAAGAAUGAACAGUGUCAUGCAACUUUGAAUAAUACUGAUGAUUACAUUUCUUUUACAAUUUAUCAAUAAAAUUUAUCUUGC